rnacentral:rRNA from 1 species
GAUGAACGCUAGCGAUAGGCUUAACACAUGCGAGUCGAGGGGUAACGUGUUGGAAGCUUGCUUCCGAUGACGACGACCGGCGGAUGGGUGCGUAACGCGUAUGCAACUUGCCUCACAGUGGAGAAUAACCCGGAGAAAUCCGGACUAAUACUCCAUACACUCUUAAGUACGCCUGUACAUGAGAGGAAAGAUUUAUCGCUGUGAGAUAGGCAUGCGUCCUAUUAGGUAGUUGGUGAGGUAACGGCUCACCAAGCCGACGAUAGGUAGGGGUGCUGAGAGGCAGAUCCCCCACAUUGGGACUGAGACACGGCCCAAACUCCGACGGGAGGCAGCAGUGAGGAAUAUUGGUCAAUGGAGGAAACUCUGAACCAGCCAAGUCGCGUGAAGGAAGAAUGUCCUAAGGAUUGUAAACUUCUUUAGCGAGCGAGUAAGGACUUCCACGUGAUGGGAGUUUGAAAGUAGCUCGAGAAUAAGUAUCGGCUAACUCCGUG